rnacentral:misc_RNA from 1 species
UCUACCCAAUUUACCCCAAUUGUGGUGUGGCUGACUGUUUGUUAGUUAGCCUCUGGCUUGUCUGGUUAAUCAGCCUGCCAGUACUCAUAGUGUGCAAUGACGUGAAGUUGGUAUCGAGGCCAACGAGAAGUCGCACGCUUGAUGAGUGAAGGGAUUGCUGGAACGGACGGAUUAUGAGUCGUCCAGGCGAGAUGCCUCCUCAAUUCCUAAGACUGCCAUUGACUUGACCGAAGCGAUUGUCUGUAAAGAUAAUAACUGCU